AUUGAACGCUGGCGGCAGGCCUAACACAUGCAGGUCGAGCGGUAGCACAGAAGAGCUUGCUCUUUGGGUGACAAGCGGCGGACGGGUGAGUAAUGUCUGGGAAACUGCCUGAUGGAGGGGGAUAACUACUGGAAACGGUAGCUAAUACCGCAUAACCUCGCAAGAGCAAAGAGGGGGACCUUUGGGCCUCUCGCCAUCAGAUGUGCCCAGAUGGGAUUAGCUAGUAGGUGAGGUAAUGGCUCACCUAGGCGACGAUCCCUAGCUGGUCGGAGAGGAUGACCAGCCACACUGGAACUGAGCCACGGUCCAGACUCCUGCGGGAGGCAGCAGUGGGGAAUAUUGCACAAUGGGCGCAAGCCUGAUGCAGCCAUGCCGCGUGUGUGAAGAAGGCCUUCGGGUUGUAAAGCACUUUCAGCGGGGAGGAAGGCGGUAAGGUUAAUAACCUUAUCGAUUGACGUUACCCGCAGAAGAAGCACCGGCUAACUCCGUGCCAGCAGCCGCCGUAA
rnacentral:rRNA from 1 species